AGAAUUGACGGGGCCGCACAAGCGGCGGAGCAUGCGGAUUAAUUCGAUGCAACGCGAAGAACCUUACCAAGGCUUGACAUACACCGGUAACGCCCAGAGAUGGGUGCCCCUUUGUGGUCGGUGUACAGGUGGUGCAUGGUUGUCGUCAGCUCGUGUCGUGAGAUGUUGGGUUAAGUCCCGCAACGAGCGCAACCCUCGUCCUAUGUUGCCAGCGGGUCAUGCCGGGGACUCAUGGGAGACUGCCGGGGUCAACUCGGAGGAAGGUGGGGAUGACGUCAAAUCAUCAUGCCCCUUAUGUCUUGGGCUUCACGCAUGCUACAAUGGCCGGUACAAAGGGCUGCGAUACCGCGAGGUGGAGCGAAUCCCAGAAAGCCGGUCUCAGUUCGGAUUGGAGUCUGCAACUCGACUCCAUGAAGUUGGAAUCGCUAGUAAUCGCGGAUCAGCACGCCGCGGUGAAUACGUUCCCGGGCCUU
rnacentral:rRNA from 1 species